CACACCCCCACACACUCCUCCUUUCCCGGGAAUCGCGGCGCCGCCUCCAGGCGCCCGCCACAGCGGCCGGGUCGCGGCGGGGCCGGCGGCCGUUGUCCCGCCGCGGCGCCUCCCGAAUGGGCGUUUUCCUCCUCAGAAACGGGGCCGCGGGCGCUCGCCCGUCUCGAGGCUUCAGCUGAUCUGAAAACUCCAGUUUCCUGCUGGAAAUUAAGAGAGCCCAACCUCCCAGGCACCGUAACUUCAAGGAAGCCCUGUACAGAAGACUUUUGCUUCCACAGGAAAUUUAGAAAAUCCACUUUCCAUUCUAUGAUAAAGCUCACUCCUGUUUCUGGAAACUUUGGCGUUUCUUGAACUCCAAUACAGAAAUUCCAAUUUUCAAUCAGCUCCACUCAUGAUGUCUUACUUCAGAAUAAACACCAUUACAAUUAACCUGUAAAAGUAACG
rnacentral:lncRNA from 1 species